CACUGGACGUGGUCUAUUCGGUCGAAUAUUAUGCAGUAAUGAAUGCUGGGUCCGUUAUAGUUUGGGAUUUGACAACCCUAGUAUUGCAAUCUGACAACUCUCAACAUACAUUGACAUACAAGCGCUAUUUGUGUUGUUUACAGUAAGUUGAAAUAUUAAUCUCGGCCAAAAUAUGGAAUUAAAUCGCAAACAUAUUAAUUUUUACAAUUUUCGACGUGAAUUAACUUGCAUCGUUGAACUAAAUUCAAUUUUUAACUAUGAAGUUCCAUCAAAGACCAGUGUUUAUCGAUGGUAUGGUGAAUUCAAUCGAACUCAUAGAUCAUUCCAAGGCGAAUUUCGUGGAGGUCAUCCAAAAUCAGCUGUUGUUCUGGAAAUUAUUGAUGCUGUACCCAAAUUAAUAUUGCCAGAUAGUCAUGUGAUCUAUCGUGAGAUAGAGGCUACAGUGGUCAUUAGUGGGACGGACCAGUAUAGUAUUUAUACAAUAUUGCAUGGUCAUUUGACUGUAAAAAAAUUUAAGUUGAAUCUCACACAAUUUGUCGAUCACGAUAUCGCUACCUAGAAACAUGCUUAUGAUAUCGUGUCAGGUGAUGAAUCGUGGAUAUAGGCGUAUGAGCAACAAAGGUUGUUUCUAUAUGAAGCACUUCCAAGCAAACGAUCGCCUAUUUUUUGGAAAAACUGGACAUGUUGCAGCUACUAUAAAUUUAGAGUGGUACACAACCAUUUGUUCGCCGGUUGCUUUUCAAGAAAUCAGGAAAAAAAGAGCAGACGGAUCACUCUUCACUAUGCCUAUCAAGGACGUAGCCAGAUCCUGGCUACGUCCUUGAUGCCAAUGCUACAUCGUCAUCCUGACUUGGCACCGCAUGACUUCUAUUAACUCCGUACAUUCUUAAAAAGUUAACUAAGAGGUCAGCGUUUUUCAACACUUGAUGGGGCGGUUGAUGCGUAAAGAACACAAGUUUUGGAGAUACCUCAAUCAGAGUGGCAAAAGUGAUUCGAAAAUUGAGCGUAACCAUCAGAAACACACCCGGGCAACUAUAGCAUAGUUUUUUGGAAAAAACUAAUUACUGGAAAAAGGGGCAGAUAAUAAAAUUCUAAAUACCAGAUAAUAAAUUUGUUUACCUUAA